AGUAGUUUGAUCAGUGGCUCAGGACGAACGCUGGCGGCGUGCUUAACACAUGCAAGUCGAACGGUAAGGCCCUUCGGGGUACACGAGUGGCGAACGGGUGAGUAACACGUGGGUGAUCUGCCCUGCACUUCGGGAUAAGCCUGGGAAACUGGGUCUAAUACCGGAUAGGACCAUGGACUUCACGGUUUGUGGUGGAAAGCUUUUGCGGUGUGGGAUGGGCCCGCGGCCUAUCAGCUUGUUGGUGGGGUAAUGGCCUACCAAGGCGACGACGGGUAGCCGGCCUGAGAGGGUGUCCGGCCACACUGGGACUGAGAUACGGCCCAGACUCCUACGGGAGGCAGCAGUGGGGAAUAUUGCACAAUGGGCGCAAGCCUGAUGCAGCGACGCCGCGUGAGGGAUGACGGCCUUCGGGUUGUAAACCUCUUUCAAUAGGGACGAAGCGCAAGUGACGGUACCUAUAGAAGAAGCACCGGCCAACUACGUG
rnacentral:rRNA from 1 species